rnacentral:tRNA from 1 species
GCCCCUGUAGUAUAGUGGAUACUUGCUGAACAAGGUUCGGCAUAGCCAAAAAGAAUAUUAGGUUGCGGACCUGAAGACCCGAGUUCGAUUCUCGGCAGGGGCA